rnacentral:rRNA from 1 species
UACAGAGGUCUCAAGCGUUGUUCGGAUUCAUUGGGCGUAAAGGGUGCGUAGGCGGCGCGGUAAGUCGGGUGUGAAAUCUCGGAGCUUAACUCCGAAACUGCAUUCGAUACUGCCGUGCUUGAGGACUGGAGAGGAGACUGGAAUUUACGGUGUAGCGGUGAAAUGCGUAGAUAUCUGGAGGAACACCGGUGGCGAAGGCGGCGUUCUGGACUGCAACUGACACUGAGGAACGAAAGCCAGGGGAGCAAACGGG